CCCACCUUUAUGUAAAAGAAUAUAUCCUUUUGUACGCGUAGCGUUACCACAUCCCAAUCUCUUCCUGCCCCCUCUCCGCGCCAGGGUUCAUCGUCCCAGCCGCCAUGAUGCCCCAGCCGCAGCCCGGCGUCGCCGCGCCGCAGUGGGGCGCCAUCCCACCGCCCAUGCCGCCGCACCAGCUCCCGGCCCCGCAGAUGUGGGGCCAGCCGCUGCAGCCCCAGCAGGUCGCGUAUGGGCAGGCGCAGCCGCCUCCCCAGGCCGCGUACUACGGCCGGCCGGCUGUCCCGACGCAGGCGCCCGCUGGGCCCAACGAGGUCAGGACACUCUGGAUAGGGGAUCUGCAGUACUGGAUGGACGAGAACUACGUCUACAAUUGCUUCGCGAGCACCGGCGAGGUGCAAUCUGUGAAGCUGAUUCGUGACAAGCAGACUGGACAACUUCAAGGUUAUGGCUUCAUUGAAUUCACAAGCCAUGCUGGCGCUGAAAGAGCUCUUCAGACAUUCAACAGGGCAAUGAUGCCAAAUGUUGAGAUGGCAUACAGAUUGAAACUGGGCGACUGCUGGUGAAAAACGUGAUGAUGGCGCUGAUUACACAAUAUUUGUUGGUGAUUUGGCUGCUGAUGUCACAGACUACGUAUUGCAAGAGACAUUUAGGGUACAGUACCCCUCGGUUAAGGGUGCAAAAGUUGUAACGGAUAAACUGACAAUGCGCCCAAAGGGCUAUGGCUUUGUGAAAUUUGGUGAUCCUACAGAGCAAACUCGUGCAAUGACUGAAAUGAAUGGGAUGCUCUGUUCUUCGAGGCCCAUGCGUAUUGGACCAGCUGCAAAUAAGCAAAAAGCAACUGGAGUUCAAGAGAAAGGUAAGCACUAAAUCCUAGUUGGCUAGAUUUAAUUUGUUUUAGCUGCGUUUUAAAGAUUAUUACAUUUGCAUUUGACUUGUAAUUGAUUUUAUCUGUUCAUUUUGUCCUUAGUUGUCCUUGCAGUUACUUGUUGGAUUAGCCUUCUGUGGUUCAGUUUCCUUUAUUACUAGUUGAAAAUGUAUCGAAGCUUGGCUUGAGCAAUAAGUUUGUAGAUCCACAACAUUUCCUUCGUGAAUUCGGAUCAUUUAAUAGUACAUUAGGAUUCUGAAGUAUACUCAUAAAACUCCCAUUGUGUCGAAGCAGGAUACCAACAGGCUCUCUACGACUGACAUGAACAGCAUUACAUAUCUUGUGUAAUGCGUGGCCUCUGUUAGUACCAAGUUCUCAGGGGGUUCAGACUGACAAUGAUCCUAGCAAUUCCACUGUAUUUGUUGGUGGCCUUGAGCCCAACACCACUGAGGAUGUGUUAAAACAACUUUUCACUCCAUAUGGAGAAGUCGUCCAUGUUAAGAUACCUGUUGGCAAAAGAUGUGGUUUUGUUCAAUAUGCUAGCAGAUCCUCUGCAGAGGAAGCCCUGCUAAUGCUGCAAGGUACCAUGAUUGGAGGGCAGAAUGUGAGGCUUUCAUGGGGUCGGAGCCCUUCAAACAAACAAGUUCAGGACUUCAACCAGUGGGGUGGUGCUACUGCUAAUGCUGGCUACUAUGGCUACGGACAAGGCUACGGGGCUUAUGGAUAUGCUAUUCAACCUCAGGACUCUAACAUGUAUGGGUAUGGGAAAUAUGCUGGCUACCCAAACUAUGCACCACAAGUAGCACAACAGCCGCAGCAGGAACCGGUAAAAUCUUCGUUAAUUGUAGAUGCCGUCUGACUUAGGACAGUCAUGUUAUAUGGACACCAUCCUGUUACAUCAGCAUAUGCAGCUUGAAUGGUAGAUUUUUUUUUGCUUGUUUGGCAUGGCUGGGAUAUAGAUACCAAAUCAUUUAUUGGUUUAUUAAAAGAAUCGACUAUAUUAAGGAAAAAUAAAUCCAUC
rnacentral:rRNA from 1 species